AAGCGUUCUCUUUUUCUUUCUUUUUUGCGAACAGUAGUUCGGCUUGAGGGACGGACCCUGUAACUUAGCAGAAUGGAGAAUAUUUUUGAAUAAGACAAAGAUCUCGAUAAAUGAUACAUGGGUUUCGAGGAGCUCAGUUUGACGAGCUAAGUAUAGCUUUGAGAGAUUGGUAAGUAACUUUGGAUGUGAGCGGAAGCGGAACGAGAUCGGUGAAAACAAAAUUGGAAUGAGUUCGGUGAGUAUCCUUCUAUGGAGAGCUCCAUGCGGUUUUCUGCUUAUAGCCUUGUCAAAGCAAGCAGGUUCUUGACUAUAUGUCGUUAUAAUGGCAUUCGUGCACCAAAUCGUCCUAGCCGGAGCUGAUACUUUUGUAAUCCUUUUGGUGUGGGAUUGUGGAGCUCGGCUCUUUGAUGUUCAACCCUUGUUAGAGCGAAGAUUGGUUUUUAGAUUCUGGUAAAGAGCUGGUGAAGCCGUGCGGCGAGCUGAGAUGGUGAUGGUAUCGGCUGGAAUAAAUCUUCUUAAUCUCAGUGAAGUAUUUCUGGGAUGUCAUCAUGUAUUGAAACUUGGGAAUUGUUGCAAUCUCUGAAGUUUUCCGAGCCUAGAAUGAAAUCUCUUGAGUUCGGUGAUGGAGCAAUGUGCGUGGAUUACUCUGCGAAAUCGAGAAUCGGAGGCAGCCUGUGUUCUUCGCCAUGGUUGCUGAAGUGAGAAAGAGGAGAAGAUCUCGGGGGAUUUUUUGUAGGCAUCGAAGCAGACAGAUGAGACGGCUCUGGUCGGAAAAGUAGUAAUUCACCGGAAGAUGCAGGAUGGUGAAUAGCGGCGACGAUGGCGGAGCUUUGGGAAGCUCGAAGCGAUGGACCUGAUAUGAUCGGAAAGCAGAGAUAACGUCGAAGCUCGGAGUGAAAUUGAUUUUUCGCGGAGUGCUGAUUCUGGUUCUGGGUGGAGCUGAGUUUUCGAAACAGCAAAUUGCAGAAAUUCCAAUCAGAUCUUUUCAUCUCUCGAUGAGUUCAUGGUGAGAUUGUGAACUGCUCUUUGAGUUAGGAUGAUCUGAGACAGAGCUGUGGGCGUGGUGUUGCGACGAUGGCGGACGAUGGAACUCAGAGUGAGGGCAUAACAACACUUAGGUGAUCAUGGCGGUGGAAUGACUUUCCUCUGUUUCUUGAAUCGGUGAAUUGGUGGAGGUGUUGAAGAUUGAUGAACUGAGAUAGAGCUGUGGGAGCUCGUUUUUGCAAAUGCCGAGCUAACGAGCUCAAGCGAGGCCGACGAACUCGAGCAGAGUUCACAAGGGGAUGGACUGACUUGGUGACCUUUCCUCGUAGGGUGGGCUUGUUAGUUGAAGAUGACUUUUCCUCUCUUUUUUUUUAACAAACGAGCUUUGUCUUUGAAUGAAAAGCGCAUUGGCGAUAGGA